CGUUUGACCUCGGAUCAGGUAGGGAUACCCGCUGAACUUAAGCAUAUCAAUAAGCGGAGGAAAAGAAACCAACAGGGAUUGCCCUAGUAACGGCGAGUGAAGCGGCAACAGCUCAAAUUUGAAAUCUGGCUCUUUCAGAGUCCGAGUUGUAAUUUGCAGAGGGUGCUUUGGUGGUAGUUGCGGUCUAAGUUCUUUGGAACAGGACGUCACAGAGGGUGAGAAUCCCGUAUGUGGUCGCUACUUAUCACCGUGUAAAGCCCCUUCGACGAGUCGAGUUGUUUGGGAAUGCAGCUCUAAAUGGGAGGUAAAUUUCUUCUAAAGCUAAAUACUGGCCAGAGACCGAUAGCGCACAAGUAGAGUGAUCGAAAGAUGAAAAGCACUUUGGAAAGAGAGUCAAAUAGCACGUGAAAUUGUUGAAAGGGAAGCGCUUGCAGCCAGACUUGCCUGUAGUUGCUUACCUAGACUUUUGUCUGGGGUACUCUUCUGCAGGCAGGCCAGCAUCAGUUUGGGCGGUUGGAUAAAGGUCUCUGUCACGUACCUCCUUUCGGGGAGGCCUUAUAGGGGAGACGUCAUACAACCAGCCUGACUGAGGUCCGCGCAUUCGCUAGGAUGCUGGCGUAAUGGCUGUAAGCGGCCCGUCUUGAAACACGGACCAAGGAGUCUAACAUCUAUGCGGGUGUUUGGGUGUCAAGCCCGAACGCGUAAUGAAAGUGAACGGAGGUGGGAACCCGCAAGGGUGCACCAUCGACCGAUCCUGAUGUCUUCGGAAGGAUUUGAGUAAGAGCAUGGCUGUUGGGACCCGAAAGAUGGUGAACUAUGCUUGAAUAGGGUGAAGCCAGAGGAAACUCUGGUGGAGGCUCGCAGCGGUUCUGACGUGCAAAUCGAUCGUCA
rnacentral:rRNA from 1 species